rnacentral:rRNA from 1 species
UACGUAGGGGGCAAGCGUUGUCCGGAUUUAUUGGGCGUAAAGAGCGUGUAGGCGGCCAUGUAGGUCCGUUGUGAAAACUCGAGGCUCAACCUCGAGACGCCGAUGGAAACCAUGUGGCUAGAGUCCGGAAGAGGAGAGUGGAAUUCCUGGUGUAGCGGUGAAAUGCGCAGAUAUCAGGAAGAACACCCGUGGCGAAGGCGGCUCUCUGGGCCGGUACUGACGCUGAGACGCGAAAGCGUGGGGAGCGAACAGG